rnacentral:rRNA from 1 species
GAACGCUAGCUACAGGCUUAACACAUGCAAGUUCGAGGGGCAGCAUGGUCUUAGCUUUGCUAAGGCCGAUGGCGACCGGCGCACGGGUGAGUAACACGUAUCCAACCUGCCGUCUACUCUUGGACAGCCUUCUGAAAGGAAGAUUAAUACAAGAUGGCAUCAUGAGUCCGCAUGUUCACAUGAUUAAAGGUAUUCCGGUAGACGAUGGGGAUGCGUUCCAUUAGAUAGUAGGCGGGGUAACGGCCCACCUAGUCUUCGAUGGAUAGGGGUUCUGAGAGGAAGGUCCCCCACAUUGGAACUGAGACACGGUCCAAACUCCUACGGGAGGCAGCAGUGAGGAAUAUUGGUCAAUGGGCGAGAGCCUGAACCAGCCAAGUAGCGUGAAGGAUGACUGCCCUAUGGGUUGUAAACUUCUUUUAUAAAGGAAUAAAGUCGGGUAUGGAUACCCGUUUGCAUGUACUUUAUGAAUAAGGAUCGGCUAACUCCGUGCCAGCAGCCGCGGUAAUACGGAGGAUCCGAGCGUUAUCCGGAUUUAUUGGGUUUAAAGGGAGCGUAGAUGGAUGUUUAAGUCAGUUGUGAAAGUUUGCGGCUCAACCGUAAAAUUGCAGUUGAUACUGGAUAUCUUGAGUGCAGUUGAGGCAGGCGGAAUUCGUGGUGUAGCGGUGAAAUGCUUAGAUAUCACGAAGAACUCCGAUUGCGAAGGCAGCCUGCUAAGCUGCAACUGACAUUGAGGCUCGAAAGUGUGGGUAUCAAACAGGAUUAGAUACCCUGGUAGUCCACACGGUAAACGAUGAAUACUCGCUGUUUGCGAUAUACUGCAAGCGGCCAAGCGAAAGCGUUAAGUAUUCCACCUGGGGAGUACGCCGGCAACGGUGAAACUCAAAGGAAUUGACGGGGGCCCGCACAAGCGGAGGAACAUGUGGUUUAAUUCGAUGAUACGCGAGGAACCUUACCCGGGCUUAAAUUGCAGAUGAAUUACGGUGAAAGCCGUAAGCCGCAAGGCAUCUGUGAAGGUGCUGCAUGGUUGUCGCCAGCUCGUGCCGUGAGGUGUCGGCUUAAGUGCCAUAACGAGCGCAACCCUUGUUGUCAGUUACUAACAGGUUCCGCUGAGGACUCUGACAAGACUGCCAUCGUAAGAUGUGAGGAAGGUGGGGAUGACGUCAAAUCAGCACGGCCCUUACGUCCGGGGCUACACACGUGUUACAAUGGGGGGUACAGAGGGCCGCUACCACGCGAGUGGAUGCUAAUCCCCAAAACCUCUCUCAGUUCGGACUGGAGUCUGCAACCCGACUCCACGAAGCUGGAUUCGCUAGUAAUCGCGCAUCAGCCACGGCGCGGUGAAUACGUUCCCGGGCC